GGGGGCCGGUUGGCUCGGGAUUACUGGGCGUAAGGGUUCGUAGGUGGUGCGGCAAGUUGGGAGUGAAAUCUCUGGGCUUAACUCAGAGGCUGCUUUCAAAACUGCCGUGCUCGAGUGCGAGAGAGGUCAGUGGAAUUGCAGGUGUAGCGGUGAAAUGCGUAGAUAUCUGCAGGAACACCCGUGGCGAAGGCGGCUGACUGGAUCGCAACUGACACUGAGGAACGAAAGCUAGGGGAGCAAACAGGAUUAGAUACCCUGGUAGUCCUAGCCCUAAACCAUCAGGACUUGGGGUGGCCCGCGUAGGCGGGUCGUCCCGUAGCUAACGCGUUAAGUCCUGCGCCUGGGGAGUACGGUCGCAAGACUGAAACUCAAAGGAAUUGACGGGGGCCCGCACAAGCGGUGGAACAUGUGGUUCAAUUCGACGCAACGCGAAGAACCUUACCUGGGCUUGAACCGCUACUGACCAACGGUAGAAAUAUCGUCUUCCCGCAAGGGACAGUAGUAGAGGUGCUGCAUGGCUGUCGUCAGCUCGUGCCGUGAGGUGUUGGGUUAAGUCCCGCAACGAGCGCAACCCUUAUUCGUAGUUGCCACCCGCAAGGGGGAACUCUACGAGGACUGCUCCGGAUAACGGAGAGGAAGGUGGGGAUGACGUCAAGUCAGCACGGCCUUUAUGUCCAGGGCUACACACGUGUUACAAUGCACGGCACAGACUGUUGCGAACCCGCGAGGGGGAGCUAAUCGGAAAAAACCGUGCUCAGUUCGGAUUGCAGUCUGCAACUCGACUGCAUGAAGCUGGAAUCGCUAGUAAUGGCGUAUCAGAUCGACGCCGUGAAUACGUUCCCGGGCCUUGUACACACCGCCCGUCACAUCACGAAAGUGAGCUGUACUAGAAGUCGCCGAGCCAACCGUAAGGAGGCCAGCGCCCAAAGUAUGGCCCAUGAUUGGGGUGAAGUCGUAACAAGGUAAC
rnacentral:rRNA from 1 species